rnacentral:tRNA from 1 species
GGGCGAGUGGCGAAAUUGGCAGACGCGCUAGACUUAGGAUCUAGUCCGCAAGGGUGGAGGUUCAAGUCCUCUCUCGCCCACCA